rnacentral:rRNA from 1 species
GAUGAACGCUGGCGGCGUGCUUAAGACAUGCAAGUCGAACGCAGACCUUGCAGCAAUGUGGGGUCUGAGUGGCGAAUGGGUGCGUAACACGUAGGUGACCUGCCCUGAAGUGGGGAAUAACAGUCCGAAGGACUGCUAAUACCGCAUACGGUUUCCGGCGUUAGAGACCGGCAACCAAAGCUUUCCGCAAGGGAGGCGCUUUGGGAGGGGCCUGCGGCCCAUCAGCUUGNGGUAGGGUAAUGGCCUACCAAGGCAACGACGGGUAGGGGACCUGAGAGGGU